AGACUCUUGAUUCCCGUGGCUGUCUCUCCCUCGGUCUGACUUUCAUUCCACUUAUAAAGGACUCCAGUAAUAGGACUUGAAACCUCUCUUGAUCGGGUUCGGCUGCACCUUAAAUGAGGUUGCUUCUACUUCUCACCAAUUGACUUAGAAUGCCAAAGCAAAUAGGAUUACCUCCAAUCAGUUCACAAGUAAGGAGAUCCUGUUGAGCACAUUCUCUAAAGGAAC